rnacentral:rRNA from 1 species
GAUGAACGCUAGCGGCAGGCCUAACACAUGCAAGUCGAGGGGUAGAGGAAGCUUGCUUCCUUGAGACCGGCGCACGGGUGCGUAACGCGUAUGCAAUCUACCUUAUACAGAGGGAUAGCCCAGAGAAAUUUGGAUUAAUACCUCAUAGUACUAUGAAAUCGCAUGGUUUUAUAAUUAAAGUUCCAACGGUAUAAGAUGAGCAUGCGUCCCAUUAGUUAGUUGGUAAGGUAACGGCUUACCAAGACAAUGAUGGGUAGGGGUCCUGAGAGGGAGAUCCCCCACACUGGUACUGAGACACGGACCAGACUCCUACGGGAGGCAGCAGUGAGGAAUAUUGGUCAAUGGACGCAAGUCUGAACCAGCCAUGCCGCGUGCAGGAUGACGGUCCUAUGGAUUGUAAACUGCUUUUAUACAGGAAGAAACACUCCCUCGUGAGGGAACUUGACGGUACUGUAGGAAUAAGGAUCGGCUAACUCUGUGCCAGCCGCCGCGGUAAAAC